GGUAGCGUGGCCGAGUGGUCUAAGGCGUUGGAUUUAAGUUUCCGCUUUAGAGCUUGAUUCCCAAUGGGUGUGAACCCGCGCGAGUUCGAACCUCGCCGCUACCA